rnacentral:lncRNA from 1 species
UUGCAUGGCCUGUACUGCUUCAGUGAGGCCCCUGACCUACUGGACCAGCAAGUCGAAUUGCUCCAUGCCGACCAUCGUUGUCGGAAGAGGAGGAGGAGCCUGAGAAACUGGAGGUGAGGUCGGAGCCUGAGAUCUGGCUGCGGAGGCUGUGGAUCACCUGGUGGAUGCUCUGCGGGGAGGCAUCAGGUGAAGAUCUAGUAGAAAAAGGAGAAGAGAAUGUCGGAGAAGAU